rnacentral:rRNA from 1 species
ACACUCCUGCGGGAGGCAGCAGUGGGGAAUUUUGGACAAUGGGCGAAAGCCUGAUCCAGCAAUGCCGCGUGGGUGAAGAAGGCCUUCGGGUUGUAAAGCUCUUUUGUCAGGGAAGAAACGGUGAAAGCUAAUAUCUUUUGCUAAUGACGGUACCUGAAGAAUAAGCACCGGCUAACUACGUGCCAGCAGCCGCGGUAAUACGUAGGGUGCAAGCGUUAAUCGGAAUUACUGGGCGUAAAGCGUGCGCAGGCGGUUUUGUAAGUCUGAUGUGAAAUCCCCGGGCUCAACCUGGGAAUUGCAUUGGAGACUGCAAGGCUAGAAUCUGGCAGAGGGGGGUAGAAUUCCACGUGUAGCAGUGAAAUGCGUAGAUAUGUGGAGGAACACCGAUGGCGAAGGCAGCCCCCUGGGUCAAGAUUGACGCUCAUGCACGAAAGCGUGGGGAGCAAACAGGAUUAGAAACCCCGGUAGUCCCAU